CGAUAAUAAUAAACGGAUUUAUUUUUCUUUAGAAACAGGUGUAAUUGUUGAUAUGUUAAAGUUUUCUUAAAGUAAAGAGACGUUUGUGUAACUUUUACGGAAGGAGUCUCCAGUGUCGGAGAUAACGCUGUAACUUUUCCACAAGUUUUGCGAAGUAUUUCUGAAGAGAGAGAAUAAAGGAAAAAAAAACAACAGAUUGCUGCGUUACAGGAGGAAAGAAAACCCUCGUAAAUCCUCUUCUUUACUCGCUUUCCUUACAAAACAUCACGGAAACCUACACGGAGAUGAUUCUGCUUCAGUGCACAGGGCGAGGAACCGUGCUGAGAAUGUUCCUGUCUCAGAAUUAAGGAGGCCACAGAACAGACACGGGGCAGACGUCGGCCUCGUUAAAGCCCUAAUCCGAGCUGCUGGCGUCUGUGGCGUUAAACGAGAGCGCGUUAUGAACUGUACGUAAACAAACAGCGAUAUUAUUUGGGGUUUAUUGACGGAGAAUAGCUGCGUUUGUAAAGUGAGAUGUAUAUCAGAGCUAGACAGGGAGCUGAUGUGUGUAUAUAUAAAUAUCUCACACUUCAACGUCACGCGCUCCAUCUGCACGUAAAAGAAACGUUAGACGUGCGUGUAUUACUUGCCGAGGGAACAGACGGAGAUCUUGAACUGACUGGAGUUUGUCCAAGCGCACUUAACGAACGCUGUACGCUCUCAUCGUUAUAAAGUGGCAGAUCCAAGAAGCAGAUGCUCUCCAGAUUGUUUUAGCGAUAAAUUGUGAUCAAUGGCAUCAAGCGGAGUACAGGAAAUGAUUCUGAUAUAAAGUCAUUAUCCCUAUCUGGUUAUUCAGGACUUCCUCCACCGCCACUCAUUACUCAUUUACACUCACACACGUGUCCCGGCAUUCUCAGCUACGCUUUUUCGUUUUUUUCUUAGAAGUUUCAGCGAAAUUCUUCGGGCUUCCAGUUUUCCGUAAGCAGAAUUUCAUCUGAAACACGGACGUGUUUUAACGUGAAUCCCCUCACGUGUUAUUGAGUUCAGACAGAUGAUCGAGCGGCACUUACAACCUCGAGACUAUUGCUGUUUUUAUUUUUUUUUACUUAGCUUCGAACAAAGUGUGUUUAUUCCUCUUACAUCACAAAAUAUUCGCCGACAGUCGCCAAAUUUUAUUUAUUAAACGACGACACGUUAAACUAUCCAUUUAUACCUACAAUAAAAUGUUCAUGAAACAAGUAAGUGAUGCCUAGAAAUUGCUACUUUUACCCCGCUAGCUUAAUUUGUAACUGUUACCUUCUGAUUAGCAUGCUAGUCAUGCGCUAGUAAGCUAGUUUGCAUUCGUUGCCAGAUUUCAGUAUCAGAGUCUUAGUGAUUUAUUAAACAACAGAGAAAUAGAACAAAACUAUACCAUAAGCCAUGAAGCUAAGCUACGCAGGCUGCUACUGUAGUUAGCAGCCCGCUAGUCCUCUGCUAGCAAACCUCCCGAGUCAGAGUACUGAUUUACAUCGACAUUUCCUCAUUGGUUUAUUUAAACGUAACUGCACACAGACAUGUCGGUGUAUGUACAAUGUAAAUAUCACAAACAUUAGCGAAGUUCGCUAGCAUGAGCGCUGGAUUGCUAGCAUGGAGAUUCUCAGGCUAAUACAGCACAAACGUCAGAGAUUAGAGGAUUCGAGUUCAAACAAGAUGGAGUUCAUCACUAACACCAGCUGGGAUAGCUAGCACACGUCCUAGCUUAGCACCAACCAUUCCAAAGAUCGUUCCGGUUCCACCUCGGACACUAGGACGUGGAAACGAUUUGAAAUCAUAAUCGUGUGACUGGUCAUACGCUUCAUUUAUAUCUCCUCUGUGCUGUUUUUUCUUUCCCUCGUGUCCGAGUGUGAAAGUAAGUACACCGUUACGUCUUCAGCGCGGUUUCAACCACUAAUGUGCAGCUCAUCGCUCCUCGUCCAGCGGGAACGGUUCAGCUCUCAACAACAACAACAACAACAACAACAACGGCGCAGAGAGAAGCUUCAGGUUGUCAUUGAAAUGUGUUUCUAUAACAGAUUCACAACAAUAAAGACACCCUGAGGUGCUGAAUGAGUCUCAUCGGAUAGGAACACGCACUGAUGUGAUAUAUACAGCGCACAUCGAGCUGUUACCAUGGAAACGAUAACCUUUUCUUCGCACACCGAGAAGUGGAAAUCCGGCCGCUUUUCCCCGAGACGAACUUCAAAGUGAGAGUGGAGAGAGCCUCGGAGCUACGGAGUGUGAGACGUGGAAGUGUGACUCGGCAGACAGUAACACUCAGCUCACACUCUACCGCGAUCUAGCACAUUUUGUUUCAGAACACCCAAUUUGUAUUGUGUAAAAAUAUUGGAACAUGUGACUGACAGGGGUUUCUGGUUACCCAGGUGUGUCCUGUUAGACUGACUGUUUAAACAAUAAAUAGCUCGGAACAUCUCCUCUUGGUUUUAGCCUUCAGUUUCACCUGUGAAGACUGCAUCUGUUGUUAAAAAGGAUAAACCAACAUGCAAAACAAGCCAUAUUGAAGCUGAAAUAAGAGGGAAAAUCAAUGAGAGGCAUCGCACAAACAUUGGGUAUAGCCAAUACAAUGAACUGGAAUGUCCUGAAAAAGAAAGAAACUGAUGUACUGAGUAACAGACACCGAACGGGUCGACCAAGGAAAACAACAGCAGUUGAUGACACAAACAUCGUGAGAGCUGUGAAGAAAAACACAAAAACAUCAGUCAGUGACAUCAACAACAACCUCCAGAGGGCAGGGUGAAGGUCUCACAAUCCACCGUUCUAAGAAGACUUCGAGAGCAGAAAUAUCGAGGCCGUACCACGAGCUGUAAACCUCUCAUCAGCAGUAAGAGUCAGAAAUCCAGACUGGAAUUCACAAAGAAACACAGAGAUGAUCCACAAAAGUUCUGGAAUGAAGAUGAACCUCUUCCAAAGUGAUGGAAAGACCAAAGUGUGGAGAAAGAAAGGAUCUGCUCAUGAUCCAGAACAUACAAGCUGAUCUGUGAAACAUGGUGGAGGUAGUGUCAUGGCUUGGGCUUGCAUGGCUGCUUCUGGAACAUUCUCACUGAUCUUUAUCGAUGAUGAACUCAUGAUGGAGCAGCAGAAUGAAUUCAGAGGUUUACAGGAACAUUGUGUCUACCAGUUUACAGAGAAAUGUAUCCGAAUGAAUCAGGAGGAACUUCAUCAUGCAGCAAGACAACGAUCCAAAACACACUUCCACCUCAACACAGGACCUCAUCAGGGGGAAAGUGGAAGGUUUUAGACUGGACAAGUCCAUCACCAGACCUUCACCCAACUGAUCAGCAUCUCACCUCCUGAAGAGGAGACUGAAGAGAGAAACCCCCCGAAACAAACAACUACUGACAGAAGCUGCAGGAGAAACCUGGAGAAGCUUCACAGAAGAAGAAACCAGCAGUGUGGUGUCAGUGAGGCGCAGGAGUGAUGCAGUUACUGAAGCAGAAUCAUCUCCGUGCGUAUGUGAGGAACCAGGACGCUGCUGGAGGAACGGGAUUUGCUCUGAAUG